AACGCGAAGAACCUUACCUGGGCUUGAACUACUCGUGGUAGUUCGCUGGAAACAGUGGACGACCCGCAAGGGAGCGAGCAGAGGUGCUGCAUGGUUGUCGUCAGCUCGUGUCGUGAGAUGUUGGGUUAAGUCCCGCAACGAGCGCAACCCCUAUCCAAUGUUGCUACUCCCGCAAGGGAGGCACUCUUUGGAAACUGCCUUCGAUAAGAAGGAGGAAGGUGGGGACGACGUCAAAUCCUCAUGGCCCUUAUGUCCAGGGCUACACACGUGUUACAAUGGCCGGUACAAUGGGAAGCAAUACCGUAAGGUGGAGCCAAACCCCAAAGCCGGCCCCAGUUCAGAUUGUGGGCUGCAACCCGCCCACAUGAAGGCGGAAUCGCUAGUAAUCGCUGAUCAGCAGGCAGCGGUGAAUACGUUCCCGGGCCUUGUA
rnacentral:rRNA from 2 species